ACCAUUCUCCGAUUUCAGCGCGAUCAUAAUUUUAAAAUGACGUAAUCUAAUAAUGGCGGAUUUCGUAUGUAAACAAACCCUUAACGUGAUCGAACACAAAUAGACAAGUAACGAAGUUUCACGUAACGGAAGAGAGACAAAUGGUAUACAAGGAGGGAAAUAUUUUAUAGACGAGCAUUUUAAACUGGUAUAUCCAAGCGGGAUUGGAUAAAAAGGACUACUUGCAAUACACGCUUUUUUAAAGUAAUCCAACCUCAUCCAUUAGGCAUUUUGUAUCUUUUUUAAUAUCAGCACGGCGAUACGAAUAUGGCCUUGGAGGAGGCUGGUCCGAUAUGAAACAAACCUCGUUCCCAGCGCCUGUUUUCUCUCUUUUGUAUCGGGACGGCGCGAGACGAACAUUUUCGUCUCGCUCGCUGUGUGGUUAAAGAAAAGAGACAACAGGCAUUGGGAACAAGGUUGAUAAUAAUCAAACUUUUUGGUUUGACUCUUGCGAUUCUUAAAAAAUGGACAAACAUUUUUGAAAGAUAAACAGCUUAAAAUACGAUGACAUUUGUAAUUUAAUUAAACAAAUGAGGAAAAGGCUAAUAAAGUAAUCUCUUUUAAUUCAAAAUAUAUGCAGAUCAUUGGUUACAAAAUUUGUUGUGUCAGCAUUAUCCAUAAAAUAUUCUUGAAAUAUUUUUAAUAAUGCUGAUAAAAAGUUAUGAAAAGUGUAAAUCAGUCUCCUAAAAGGUUUGAUUUUAAAAACACAACUUCAAAUGCACUGACCACAAUAUAAGAUGGGAUGAUACUGUCAUAAUAAACUGUACAAUUCUAACGCAACAUUGUAUUUUUUUUCGAAACACCAUAAAAUUAAAAAAUAAAUAUUUACCAAAAA